AACGCACAUUGCGCCCUUUGGUAUUCCGAAGGGCAUGCCUGUUCGAGCGUCAUUACACCACUCAAGCCUGGCUUGGUAUUGGGCGCCGCGGGGGACCCCGCGCGCCUUAAAGUCCUUCCGGCUGAGUCGUCCGUCUCUAAGCGUUGUGGCAAACAAUUCGCGGCGAGAUCGGGCGGCGCGGCCGUUAAAUCUUUCAUUCAGGUUGACCUCGGAUCAGGUAGGGAUACCCGCUGAACUUAA
rnacentral:misc_RNA from 1 species